rnacentral:rRNA from 1 species
AUUGAACGCUGGCGGAAUGCUUUACACAUGCAAGUCGAGCGGCAGCGCGGGGCAACCUGGCGGCGAGCGGCGAACGGGUGAGUAAUGUAUCGGAACGUGUCCUGUCGUGGGGGAUAGCCCGGUGAAAACCGGAUUAAUACCGCAUACGAUCGAGAGAUGAAAGUGGGGGACCGCAAGGCCUCACGCGAUAGGAGCGGCCGAUAUCUGAUUAGCUAGUUGGUGGGGUAAAGGCCCACCAAGGCUUCGAUCAGUAGCUGGUCUGAGAGGAUGAGCAGACACACUGGGACUGAGACACGGCCCAGACUCCUACGGGAGGCAGCAGUGGGGAAUUUUGGACAAUGGGGGCAACCCUGAUCCAGCCAUUCCGCGUGAGUGAAGAAGGCAUUCGGGUUGUAAAGCUCUUUUGUCCGGGAAGAAACGGUUUUGGCUAAUAACCAAGACUACUGACGGUACCGGAAGAAUAAGGACCGGCUAACUACGUGCCAGCCGCCGCCGUAA